rnacentral:sRNA from 1 species
UUUUCUUUAUUUUUACGUUUAUGACGGGUUGGACGCCCUGAAAUGAGAGUCGUGAAAUGCCUGGUAGUAUAUAGUUAUAGCCACAGACUGACGAUGUCCAGAAUGUAGUGUAUAGGUGCCAAGUGCGUCGGUAUUUAGUUGGAGAUAUCUCAAUGCUAUAAGUUAGGUAACAAUCGAUCAUUUUCAUGUAAUCAUGCUGGAGAAGAAAAAAAUAUUUUGAAGAUUAGGAAUUGGCAAACAAAUCUUGUACCAAAUUUCAAUUUACACGGACAGUCACCAAAAGUUAACCUAACUCGUGACAUGAUGUGCAAAUACUUUUACAAAUCUGUAAAUUGAUACUUAGAGCUGGGAUGUAUGUUUUGUUUAUAACUAUAAGUAUAUCUUGAGGUUGACUUGACUACUUUGAGAAUGCCUUGUUGACGGUACACAAACGCUGUCUCUUUGUACUCUCUGUGAUGUGAACACCCUUCAACAUUUCCCUCAAUCCUCAACAUCUUUCUUUAAUACUGGAUCCUAUGUGUUCUAUGUAUUACAUAUACUAGUAGUACAUUGUUAUUCCAUGGGACGUUGAAUGAAUAUUCGACCUUAGUGAAAUAUUGACAUUACUUGUUUCGUAAAGUUUAUAUCUUUCAUUUUAGACAUGCCUUUAGAAGUCAUCAAGUUUAAAAAAUAAAAAAUAAAUAUGCAUUAUACAUGUAUAU